rnacentral:rRNA from 1 species
AGCGGUUAAAAAGCUCGUAGUUGGAUUUCGGAGUUGUUAUCUGAACCUUCUCGCCCUAAAAAGUGGGGGGGCUAAGGUAGCAGUAGUUUUCAUCAUAGUCCAUCAGGAUACUCUCUUGAUGUGUACUGGGUGUUAACCUCCUUUUUUUCUGGUACUUGCUAUCCAGCAAUGGGUAGUUUUGUCCAGAUAGUUUACUUUGAAAAAAUUAGAGUGUUCAAAGCAGGCAUAAUUGGCAUCAUGAAUACAUUAGCAUGGGAUAAUAGAAUAUGACAUUGGUCUUAUUUUGUUGGUUUCUAAGGCCAAAGUAAUGAUUGAUAGGGAUAGUUGGGGCCGCUCGUAUUGAGUUGUCAGAGGUGAAAUUCUAGGAUUUUACUCAAGACGAACUAAUGCGAAAGCAUUCGGCAAGGAUGUUUUCAUUAAUCAAGAACGAAAGUUGGGG